GAUGAAGAACGUAGUGAAAUGCGAUAAGUAAUGUGAAUUGCAGAAUUCAGUGAAUCAUCGAAUCUUUGAACGCACAUUGCGCCCGCCAGUAUUCUGGCGGGCAUGCCUGUUCGAGCGUCAUUACAACCCUCAGGCCCCGGGCCUGGCGUUGGGGAUCGGCGGAGCCCCCCGUGGCACACGCCGUCCCCCAAAUGCAGUGGCGGUCCCGCCGCAGCUUCCAUCGCGUAGUAGCUAACACCUCGCGACUGGAGAGCGGCGCGGCCACGCCGUAAAACACCCAACUCUUCUGAAGUUGACCUCGAAUCAGGUAGGAAUACCCGCUGAACUUAAGCAUAUCAAUAAGCGGAGGA
rnacentral:misc_RNA from 1 species